rfam:Cochliobolus sativus ND90Pr unplaced genomic scaffold COCSAscaffold_7, whole genome shotgun sequence.
AUGUUCUCUCCACCAACGCCCUGUGUCAGAAUCUCCCAUCCACCGCCCAGAGGGCUUGCUCUCUGCGGCGGUGUGUAUCGGUUGCAGAUGCUGACAGCUCGUCCAUCAUGGAGCCAUCUUCUUCCCGGUAGAUUGUUUCGGACGACAGGAGCGGAGAACAACUUUGGCAGCUUCCGGCAGCCUGAGCUCACCGCAAGGUUCGAGCUCGGUGUAUGGUUGUCUGUCAGGCAGACUGAUUCCGUCUCCCUUUUGCUAGGCCGUCGGCCGUUUAUGCUUGGGACUAACCCAGUCGGCUACAUAU